GAGGUUUUGGCAGUGUUUACAAGGUAACGUGAAUUUUUAUCUUAUCGACGAACAUAACUGUAUUUCCAUCUUGUUUGACCUAAAAAUGGAUGUGUCCAGGGAAUGUUAGAAGAUGGUACAGAAAUUGCUGUGAAAAGGCUUAGUAAGGGUUCUGGCCAGGGGGUACCGGAGUUCAGAAAUGAAGUAAUACUCAUUGCGAAGUUGCAGCAUAAAAACUUGGUUAGACUUCUCGGCUUCUGCAUCCAUGGAGAUGAGAAACUAUUAAUAUAUGAAUACUUACCUAACAGAAGUCUGGAUGCCAUGCUUUUCGGUAUGUUCUGCUUACGUAUUGCCAAUUUCAGUAAGUCAUGAAAUCAACCAGAAUAACUGAUGCCAUCCCUCAAUUGAUGCUAUUGGUAGCAGAUGCCACAAGAAAAUCAAUGCUUAAUUGGCCAACAAGAUUCGAGAUAAUCAAAGGUGUAGCUAGAGGACUUCUUUAUCUUCAUCAAGAUUCAAGGUUGAAGAUAAUUCACAGGGAUCUCAAAGCAAGCAACAUAUUAUUAGAUGCCGAAAUAAGCCCUAAGAUAUCUGAUUUUGGUAUAGCAAGGAUAUUUGGUGGCGAUCAGCAGCAAGAAAAUACCAACCGCGUUGUUGGCACAUAGUGAGUGAUAUACUGCAUGAGUGAUCUUUAUACAUCUCAAAAAAAAAAGAGUGAUCUUUAUACAUUAUUCUUGUGCUUGACCAAAAUUAUGUUAUGUGCUCCUAACUGGGACAUGCUUCAAACAGCGGUUACAUGUCACCUGAAUAUGCUUUGAACGGAGUGUUCUCUGUCAAGUCUGAUGUAUACAGCUUUGGAGUUUUACUACUAGAGAUUGUGAGUGGCUCAAAGACCAGCUCUGUGCACCUAAAAGCAGACUUCCCCAGCAUUAUAGCCUCUGUAAGUACAAUGACAUGUUCGAAUUUCUGCAAGUAUAGUAAAUAUGUGCAUCUUUGAAGGGAUGAGAUAUGAUGAAUGCAGGCAUGGAGCUUAUGGAAGGAUGGGAACAUAAAGGAUUUUGUUGACUCAUCAAUUGUGGAGAGUUGUUCACCUGAUGAAACUAUACGGUGCAUCCAUAUUGGACUUUUGUGUGUUCAGGACAGCCCAAAUG
rnacentral:lncRNA from 1 species